GCUCCGGUGGCCUAGUGGUUAGAGCAUCCGCCUUGGAUGCAAGAGGUCGUGGGUUCAAUCCCCUGUCGAGUCA